UACGUAGGUGGCAAGCGUUGUCCGGAUUUACUGGGCGUAAAGGAUGCGUAGGCGGACAUUUAAGUCAGAUGUGAAAUACCCGAGCUUAACUUGGGUGCUGCAUUUGAAACUGGGUGUCUAGAGUGCAGGAGAGGUAAGUGGAAUUCCUAGUGUAGCGGUGAAAUGCGUAGAGAUUAGGAAGAACACCAGUGGCGAAGGCGGCUCACUGGACCAUUACUGACGCUGAUGCACGAAAGCUAGGGGAGCAAACAGG
rnacentral:rRNA from 1 species